rnacentral:rRNA from 1 species
GACGAACGCUGGCGGCGUGCUUAACACAUGCAAGUCGAACGGAAAGGCCCUGCUUUUGUGGGGUGCUCGAGUGGCGAACGGGUGAGUAACACGUGAGUAACCUGCCCUUGACUUUGGGAUAACUUCAGGAAACUGGGGCUAAUACCGGAUAGGAUCUCCUGCUGCAUGGUGGGGGUUGGAAAGAUUCGGCGGUUGGGGAUGGACUCGCGGCUUAUCAGCUUGUUGGUGGGGUAGUGGCUUACCAAGGCUUUGACGGGUAGCCGGCCUGAGAGGGUGACCGGCCACAAUGGGACUGAGAUACGGCCCAGACUCCUACGGGACGCAGCAGUGGGGAAUAUUGCACAAUGGGCGGAAGCCUGAUGCAGCAACGCCGCGUGCGGGAUGACGGCCUUCGGGUUGUAAACCGCUUUCGCCUGUGACGAAGCGUGAGUGACGGUAAUGGGUAAAGAAGCACCGGCUAACUACGUG